rnacentral:lncRNA from 1 species
AAAAACAAAUUAAGGAUGUGAAAGAAGUAUUGGUUGAUGUUACUGAGAAUCAAACCCAUGUCCAUGAAUCAAAUAUGCAACUUGAAGCUUCAAGACCUAGAACAGUGGAAGACGGAUUAAGAGAGCUGCAAUUUAAGUACAAUGAAUUGCAAGCUUGUUGUGAUGAGUUGCAAAUGAAAUAUGAUUCAUUGCGCCUCAUUUU